CAAGAUCCGUUCCUGGAGGGCCACUAUCCUGCAUGUUUUAGAUGUUCCCCUCUUCCAACACACCUGAUUCUAAUGAUCAGGCUCAUUAUCAGGUUUCUGCUGAGCUUGAUGAUGAGCUGAUCAUUUGAAUCAGGUGUGUUGGAAGAGGGAAACAUCUAAAACAUGCAGGAUAGUGGCCCUCCAGGAACUGAGUUUGACACCCCUGGGUUAGAAGGUCUGGAAGAGGUUAGAAGGACUGGAGGAGGUUAGAAGGUCUGGAGGAGGUUAGAAGGUCUGGAAGAGGUUAGAAGGACUGGAAGAGGUUAGAAGGUCUGGAAGAGGUUAGAAGGUCUGGAGGAGGUUAGAAGGUCUGGAAGAGGUUAGAAGGUCUGGAAGAGGUUAGAAGGUCUGGAGGAGGUUAGAAGGCCUGGAGGAGGUUAGAAGGUCUGGAGGAGGUUAGAAGGUCUGGAAGAGGUUAGAAGGUCUGGAAGAGGUUAGAAGGUCUGGAGGAGGUUAGAAGGUCUGGAGGAGGUUAGAAGGUCUGGAAGAGGUUAGAAGGACUGGAAGAGGUUAAAAGGUCUGGAGGAGGUUAGAAGGUCUGGAAGAGGUUAGAAGGUCUGGAGGAGGUUAGAAGGUCUGGAGGAGGUUAAAAGGUCUGGAGGAGGUUAGAAGGUCUGGAAGAGGUUAGAAGGUCUGGAAGAGGUUAGAAGGUCUGGAGGAGGUUAGAAGGUCUGGAAGAGGUUAGAAGGUCUGGAAGAGGUUAGAAGGCCUGGAGGAGGUUAGCAGGUCUGGAAGAGGUUAGAAGGACUGGAAGAGGUUAGAAGGUCUGGAGGAGGUUAGAAGGACUGGAAGAGGUUAGAAGGUCUGGAGGAGGUUAGAAGGACUGGAAGAGGUUAGAAGGACUGGAAGAGGUUAGAAGGUCUGGAGGAGGUUAGAAGGACUGGAAGAGGUUAGAAGGACUGGAGGAGGUUAGAAGGUCUGGAGGAGGUUAGAAGGACUGGAAGAGGUUAGAAGGACUGGAAGAGGUUAGAAGGUCUGGAAGAGGUUAGAAGGACUGGAGGAGGUUAGAAGGUCUGGAGGAGGUUAGAAGGUCUGGAGGAGGUUAGAAGAUCUGCAGGAGGUUAGAAGGACUGGAGGAGGUUAGAAGGUCUGGAAGAGGUUAGAAGGUCUGGAAGAGGUUAGAAGGUCUGGAGGAGGUUAGAAGGUCUGGAAGAGGUUAGAAGGACUGGAAGAGGUUAGAAGCACUGGAGGAGGUUAGAAGGUCUGGAGGAGGUUAGAAGAUCUGCAGGAGGUUAGAAGGACUGGAGGAGGUUAGAAGGUCUGGAAGAGGUUAGAAGGUCUGGAAGAGGUUAGAAGGUCUGGAGGAGGUUAGAAGGUCUGGAAGAGGUUAGAAGGACUGGAAGAGGUUAAAAGGUCUGGAGGAGGUUAGAAGGACUGGAAGAGGUUAGAAGGUCUGGAGGAGGUUAGAAGGACUGGAAGAGGUUAAAAGGUCUGGAG